UGGGCAACCUGCCCUCAGCUCUGGGAUAACUCCAAGAAAUUGGGGCUAAUACCGGAUAUGACCGCUGACCGCAUGGUUUGGUGGUGGAAAGAUUUAUCGGCUGGGGAUGGGCCCGCGGCCUAUCAGCUUGUUGGUGGGGUAGUGGCCUACCAAGGCGACGACGGGUAGCCGGCCUGAGAGGGCGACCGGCCACACUGGGACUGAGACACGGCCCAGACUCCUACGGGAG
rnacentral:rRNA from 1 species